rnacentral:lncRNA from 1 species
UGAACCUGUGGAGCUAGGACAGGUGAUGGAUGUUUAGCCAGAUAAUUUCUCCUAAUGGAUAUUUCAUGGUAACUACAGGAUUGAGCCUGGCUUCAAACAGAUGGACUGAAGGAACCUCUCAGGAAAGAUGAUUCCUCCACAGGACUUUCCUGAACUCCGCCUAAUGUUUGGCUGUGGAACCCUGCAUCUGACCCCAUUAACUGCUGCAUGAAGUCUCUCCGGUAUCCUUCGAUGACGAUUCUGCUAGUCGCUGGUCCCAGCACACUCUGCAAGCAAGACAAUCUAUGGUGAGAUGCCGUAGUUAGAAGAAGCAUGCCCUCAUCCACUCUGCUACGGUGUUCAAUCUCCAAUACUCCAAGGAAAACCUCCCAGAACAGACUCCCUCCAUCUCCACAUGAGGACACCUACCCAAGAAAGUGAGACCCUCAGCAAUUAACAGUGCAGAGACGUACUGGGCCACAGCUCGGGUAGCGCUGUAUCGGACUGUCUUGCAGGACAGUGCGGAGUUGUAACAAUGUCCGGUCAACGACUGGCAGGGCUAUGCCUUGACGGGGACGACUUGGUUAUGCAUACCUCUCCCCUGUGUUUCAGCCUAAGCUUCGUCUCGGCACCCAGCGGACAUGGAGGGUCACUGGACUGUUGUAAUUGGUUCUUUCCCCGAUGUGUCUAUAUUGCCUUCUGUCUUCAUUCAUCUCUUCACCCGACAUAUUGAGAUGAAUGGCUAAGUCUGCCUUGUUUUAGUGAUGCCUUAGCAUCUGGUUCAGAUAUUUGUGAUGCUUAGGCUGUUUUCUGAAGGGGGUGCUGACCUUUCCCAGGACAGGAACAUGAAUUCUCCUUGGUCCU